UGUUUAUCUAAAACACAGGGCUCUGCGAAGUCUGUAAGACGACGUAUAGGGCCUGACGCCUGCCCGGUGCCGGAAGGUUAAGAGGAGAGGUGAGAGCUUUGAAUUGAAGUCCCAGUAAACGGCGGCCGUAACAAUAACGGUCCUAAGGUAGCGAAAUUCCUUGUCGGGUAAGUUCCGACCUGCACGAAUGGCGUAACGAUGGCCACACUGUCUCCUCCUGAGACUCAGCGAAGUUGAAAUGUUUGUGAUGAUGCAAUCUCCCCGCGGAAAGACGGAAAGACCCCAUGAACCUUUACUGUAGCUUUGCAUUGGACUUUGAACCGAUCUGUGUAGGAUAGGUGGGAGGCUUUGAAACCGGGACGCUAGUUUCGGUGGAGCCGACCUUGAAAUACCACCCUGGUUUGUUUGAGGUUCUAACCUUGGCCCGUGAAUCCGGGGACGGAAAGACCCCAUGAACCUUUACUGUAGCUUUGUAUUGGACUUUGAACAGAUCUGUGUAGGAUAGGUGGGAGGCUUUGAAGUGAGGACGCUAGUUCUCAUGGAGCCAACGUUGAAAUACCACCCUGGUGUGUUUGAGGUUCUAACCUAGGUCCAUUAUCUGGAUCGGGGACAGUGCAUGGUAGGCAGUUUGACUGGGGCGGUCUCCUCCCAAAGCGUAACGGAGGAGUUCGAAGGUACGCUAGUUACGGUCGGACAUCGUGAUAAUAGUGCAAUGGCAUAAGCGUGCUUAACUGCGAGACUGACAAGUCGAGCAGAUACGAAAGUAGGACAUAGUGAUCCGGUGGUUCUGUAUGGAAGGGCCAUCGCUCAACGGAUAAAAGGUACUCUGGGGAUAACAGGCUGAUACCGCCCAAGAGUUCAUAUCGACGGCGGUGUUUGGCACCUCGAUGUCGGCUCAUCUCAUCCUGGGGCUGUAGCCGGUCCCAAGGGUAUGGCUGUUCGCCAUUUAAAGUGGUACGCGAGCUGGGUUUAGAACGUCGUGAGACAGUUCGGUCCCUAUCUGCCGUGGGUGUAAGGAGACUUGAGAGGAUUUGUCCCUAGUACGAGAGGACCGGGAUGAACGUACCUCUGGUGGAGCUGUUGUCGCGCCAGCGGCAGUGCAGCAUAGCUAUGUACGGACGGGAUAACCGCUGAAGGCAUCUAAGCGGGAAACCCCCCUCGAAACGAGGUCUCCCUUGAGGGCCGUGGAAGACGACCACGUCGAUAGGCCGGGAGUGCAA
rnacentral:rRNA from 1 species